AACGGCCUACCAAGGCGACGAUAGGUAGCCGACCUGAGAGGGUGAACGGCCACACUGGAACUGAGAAACGGUCCAGACUCCUACGGGAGGCAGCAGUAGGGAAUAUUCCGCAAUGGGCGAAAGCCUGACGGAGCAACGCCGCGUGAGUGAAGAAGGUUUUCGGAUCGUAAAGCUCUGUCAACAGGGACGAAACAAGACGGUACCUGAGAAGGAAGCCACGGCAAACUACGUGCCAGCAGCCGCGGUAAUACGUAGGUGGCAAGCGUUGUCCGGAAUAACUGGGCGUAAAGCGCAUGUAGACGGCAUGAUAAGCCAAAUGUGAAAUGUAGGGGCUCAACCCCUGCACUGCGAUUGGAACUGUCAAGCUUGAGUGCAGGAGAGGCAAAUGGAAUUCCCAGUGUAGCAGUGAAAUACGUAGAGAUUGGGAGGAACACCAGUGGCGAAGGCGAUUUGCUGGACUGCAACUGACGUUGAGAUGCGAAAGCUAGGGGAGCAAACGGGAUUAGAUACCCCGGUAGUCCUAGCCGUAAACGAUGGAUACUAGGUGUAGAGGGUAUCGACCCCUUCUGUGCCGCAGCGAACGCAAUAAGUAUCCCGCCUGGGGAGUACGGUCGCAAGACUGAAACUCAAAGGAAUUGACGGGGGCCCGCACAAGCAGUGGAGCAUGUGGUUUAAUUCGACGCAACCCGAAGAACCUUACCAGGUCUUGACAUUUUAUGGAACGAGGUAGAGAUAUUUUUGGUGCCCUUUCGGGGGAACCAUAAAACAGGGGGUGCAUGGUUGUCGUCAGCUCGUGUCGUG
rnacentral:rRNA from 1 species